rnacentral:tRNA from 1 species
GGUGAAGUAGCCAAGGUGGUCAAGGCACCUGUCUGAAGAACAGGCUAUCUCAGUUCGACUCUGAGCUUCACCA